UUAUAGUUUCAAGGAUUGACUAGAUUAUUUAAUUUUACAGAUUGCCUAUUAUAUAAAAGUUUGCUUUGUAUUGUUUUUAUUCAUUCAACCCUUUUAAUAAAAAUCUACUUUUUAAAUUUGUUGAAUCCUUUGUUCUUUGGAACAUCGUAAUGCUACGAGAGUGAUCUCCGUAAGCACGGUCUUGUUCACUAGUGGGGCUGCCUCUCACGGACUAAGACCAACCCAGCAAGUAUCUGGCCUUCCGCAGCCUUAUACUGAAGAACCAUCGAUCCACCUUUCCUUUAAUCCAUCUUUGGGUCAAAGUUUAUCCUUUUCACCAACCUUCGAGUGCAUUCCUUGGGAGAUUUUCUAUUAUUUGGUAUCAGAGCACACUUGAGGGUUCGGUGUUCACUUCUGUCAUUCAUCAUUCUCAUCUUUCCAUCUUCUACAAAAAAAAAAAAAAAAAUCCACGAGAAAACAAGAGAUCAUUCCAUCUGAAGUUAAAUCGAGACUGCUCCUCCAUCUCUCGUAAUGGCUCUAGGAGAUUGCUUCUCCGAAAGCAACCUGUUUUGAUCACUAGUGGGGCUGCCUCUCACGGUCACAGGUUCUAAACAUUAUGUCGGAUUUGAGGGCAAAUCCUUUUGAAGGAGGAGGGGAUGAUGUGACCUUGUUCAGGAACAAGCAAAUCAAGAGAUGUCCAAAAAAAAGAAAGGCUCACCAAGAAAAUACAAGCCAAUGUCGUAUAAUAUAUCAAUCUGACGGCAAUUCAGAGACCGUCGAUCAUGCAAAAGGAUGCGACCAGCCAAGGAAUUCUGCGAACACAAUUUCCAAAAUUCAGUCAACAGUCUUGGUCUUUGGUCAAGUCAAUAUUCCUAGUCAAGUCUUCAUAGUUUUAAGAUCUUUAUAGUUUCAAGGAUUGACUAGAUUAUUUAAUUUUACAGAUUGCCUAUUAUAUAAAAGUUUGCUUUGUAUUGUUUUUAUUCAUUCAACCCUUUUAAUAAAAAUCUACUUUUUAAAUUUGUUGAAUCCUUUGUUCUUUGGAACAUCGUAAUGCUACGAGAGUGAUCUCCGUAAGCACGGUCUUGUUCACUAGUGGGGCUGCCUCUCACGGACUAAGACCAACCCAGCAAGUAUCUGGCCUUCCGCAGCCUUAUACUGAAGAACCAUCGAUCCACCUUUCCUUUAAUCCAUCUUUGGGUCAAAGUUUAUCCUUUUCACCAACCUUCGAGUGCAUUCCUUGGGAGAUUUUCUAUUAUUUGGUAUCAGAGCACAAGAGAAAACAAGAGAUCAUUCCAUCUGAAGUUAAAUCGAGACUGCUCCUCCAUCUCUCGUAAUGGCUCUAGGAGAUUGCUUCUCCGAAAGCAACCUGUUUUGAUCACUAGUGGGGCUGCCUCUCACGGUCACAGGUUCUAAACAUUAUGUCGGAUUUGAGGGCAAAUCCUUUUGAAGGAGGAGGGGAUGAUGUGACCUUGUUCAGGAACAAGCAAAUCAAGAGAUGUCCAAAAAAAAG
rnacentral:lncRNA from 1 species